AGAGACAGCAGUCGCCACGGGAAUACAGAGGGUGCGAGCGUUAAUCGGAUUUACUGGGCGUAAAGCGUGCGUAGGCGGCUUCUUAAGUCGGAUGUGAAAUCCCUGAGCUUAACUUAGGAAUUGCAUUCGAUACUGGGAAGCUAGAGUAUGGGAGAGGAUGGUAGAAUUCCAGGUGUAGCGGUGAAAUGCGUAGAGAUCUGGAGGAAUACCGAUGGCGAAGGCAGCCAUCUGGCCUAAUACUGACGCUGAGGUACGAAAGCAUGGGGAGCAAACAGGAUUAGAUACCCCUGUAGUCCCUGUCUCUUAUAC
rnacentral:rRNA from 1 species